rnacentral:rRNA from 1 species
AAUCAACGCUGGCGGCGUGCCUCAGACAUGCAAGUCGAACGCGAAAGUUCCCUUCGGGGGGCGAGUAGAGUGGCGCACGGGUGAGUAACACGUAGGUAAUCUACCUUUGGGUGGGGAAUAACAGCCGGAAACGGCUGCUAAUACCGCAUAAUGCAGCGGCUCGACAUCGAGACAGUUGUUAAAGGCGGGGGAUCGCAAGACCUCGCGCCUAAAGAGGAGCCUGCGGCGGAUUAGCUUGUUGGUGAGGUAAUGGCUCACCAAGGCAUCGAUCCGUAGCCGGCCUGAGAGGGCGGUCGGCCACACUGACACUGACAUACGGGUCAGACUCCUACGGGAGGCAGCAGUCGGGAAUUUUGGGCAAUGGGCGCAAGCCUGACCCAGCAACGCCGCGU